GCUACGUCAACGCCACGGAUGUGACCUGCCUCAUUGACAGCCUCAAGCCAUCAACAAUGUGUGAGUUUGCUGUGAAGACCAUCAGGGUGAGACCACAGUGCUGGAAGCCUUCGUUCUUCUUUCAGUAAAUAUUCACUCAGUCCUGCAACACUUCUCAAGGAAAUCCUGCACAGCUGAAUCCUUGCUGUGAUGAGGCACAGAGAAAUUAUGACUCAUAGGGUUUGGCGUGAGUCCCCCUAUAGCCUGGUGGCCUCCAACACCCUGCUGGUGGCCCGGCCGUCCUGGCCCUCCCUGGCCAGCCGUCCACCACCACCUUCACCCGGCAGCCGCUGCAGCGGAACAAUGGGAGGAUCACAGGCUACGUGAUAUUCCUCACCACGGACCAAACUGUCGGUGACUGGGUGACGGGGGAAGUGACGGGGGACUGGCUCACCCUCACCGUCCAUGGACUGACGCCUUCAAGGAAGUAUUUGCACAAGAUGCACACUCACAAUGUCAAAGGUUUUGGUCCAUUCUCCUCCGUGGAAAGCUUCACGACUCUUCCAGCUGUUGACAAGAGCAUCGGUGAGCCCCCUGGCUGGUGUGUGGAGCGAGAGGCCUGAUUGUGCUGGUGAUCGCUGGCGUGGCAGGAGCCAUGACCAGCUGGGGGCCUUCUUGGCCACCACACUGUACUGCCGCGAGUCAAGGCGGAGCCCAGGCCAAGCAUUGUUGUUGGCGGCAGCUGCAGUGAGAGCAACAAGCCUGGCGUCCAGCCUCCAGACCUGUGGAUCCAUCACGGCCACCUGGAGCUGAAGAACUUUGACAAGGGUGAGCGCAGCAACUCCCCCAACCACGCCUCCAUCAUCCAGCACACAGGUGGGUGUCUUUGUCAGUCAGUGAACAGUGUGCAGCUCAUGGGAGUCCUGUCAUUUGUGUGGUAUUUUUUGUAAUAUUUGGUUGCUGGUGUUUUGUUGCCAGUCACUGCUGCGUUGUAGUGUGCCAGUGACGCCACACACAACCUUACACAACCCCCGGACACUCCAGUAUGAGAGUCAUCACACAUUACAGAGUUUCCAUCUCUCUCUAUCCAGACACUCCCUCCUUGCCUGCUCA